rnacentral:rRNA from 1 species
AACGAACGCUGGCGGCAGGCCUAACACAUGCAAGUCGAGCGGACCUUUCGGGGUCAGCGGCGGACGGGUGAGUAACGCGUGGGAAUAUGCCCUUCUCUACGGAAUCGUCCUGGGAAACUGGGGGUAAUACCGUAUACGCCUUUUGGGGGAAAGAUUUUUUGGGGAAGGAUUAGGCUGCGUUUGAUUAGGUAGUUGGUGGGGUAUUGGCGUAGUAAGGGGGGGAUUCGUGGCUGGUUUGAGAGGAUGAUGGGCCACAAAGGGACUGGGAAACGGGCGAGACGAAUACGGGGGGAAGCAGUGUGGAAGAUUGCGCAAUGGGCGAAAGCAUGGUGCAGCGACGCCGGGUGAGGGAGGGAGGCCUUCGGGUUGUGAACCGCCUUAGCCAGUGAAGCAGGCCUGAUCCAUGUGGGUGGGUUGACGGUAGCUGGAUAAGAAGCGCCGGCUAACUACGUG